rnacentral:antisense_RNA from 1 species
UGUCAUGGCGGCUGUGCGUGGGGCACUUUCGAGUGCGCCGGGAUUCUCGUAGCCCGGUCUGCUAACCCGCGUACAGUCGCCACCCAU